rnacentral:rRNA from 1 species
GGAGGUAGUGACAAUAAAUCUCAAUACGAAGCCUUUGGUUUUGUAAUUGAAUUGAGAACAAUGUACAAUCGUUAUCGAUAAACAAUUGGAGGGCAAGUCUGGUGCCAGCAGCCGCGGUAAUUCCAGCUCCAAUAGCGUAUAUUAACGUUGUUGCAGUUAAAAAGCUCGUAGUUGAAGUUUAGGUAAUUUGUAGAGAGUGUUAGUAUUCGUACUAUCUGCUCUCUUUGGAUUAUCGACUUCCAGGUAAGCUUGAUAAUCCCUCCGGGGACUAUUAAGCCAGACUGGUCUUUUACUGUGAGAAAAUUAGAGUGUUUAAAGCAGACUUUUAUUUAGUUUGAAUAGAUUAGCAUGGAAUAAUAAGAUUGGCUUUCAUAGUCGAUUUUUUGGUUUGUUUAUGAAAGCAAGAUUAAUAGGGACAGUUGGGGGUAUUCAUAUUCAAUAGCUAGAGGUGAAAUUCUAUGAUUUAUGGAAGAUGAACAAGUGCGAAAGCA